UCGUCGAGUUUGAACGACCUCUGCCGGACAAUGCUUAGUUCCGGAGAGGUUGAGGUUUGUUGUACCGAAGUGUCCGCUCUCGCUACGUAUGCUUUCUAGACGGACCUGACUAUUUAAGACCCCGGCGCUUCUUUCCCUUUGUACACGGACACGUCGUUCUCCGUAGAAGAUGACGUAGAUUUCGAUUUCGCGGUUCAUGACGGGGUGGCGGUUGCGAAUUGUCGUUUUUACCUUUCGGUCGGUUGGGUCCGCCGUUCCGAGGUUUCGCCACUUAUGGCCUAAGUGUGUAUGUAAAAUUUUGAGAGUACACCUAACUAUUACUAGACCUGUAGUAAACCGCACGAAACAGAUACUUUAUUAUGUAUAUGGUUUCUGAGAUUAUCAUACAUUCUUCAAUUCUCCACCUUUUCUUUAUACCUAGCUAGAUAACGUACAAACAUCAAACAUGCAGGAACCACCUAAAACAGUGACAGGAUUCAAGUACAUAACCAUAACAUAACUUAAGUGUAGAUAAUAAUUUAAACCUAACAU
rnacentral:rRNA from 1 species